rnacentral:lncRNA from 1 species
UUAAAUAAAAAUAGAGUAUUGACUUGACAAUACUAGUAAUAAACAAUAAUUGAUGUUGUGAUGCUUGGAUUUUGACUCAAUCGCCAUUGACUAGUAAAAGAAAGUAAAGUGGACUCUCUUUAUAAAGAAAAGGAGCACGCAUUCAAAAAAGAGAAAUAAAGAAGAAAAGAGCAAAAGAGAGAUAUGAAGGUGGGGAAAAAAGGAAAAAAGAGAAAGGGAA